UCACUUGAGGUCAGGAGUUUGAGACCAGCCUGGUCAACAUGGUGAAACCCUGUCUCUACGAAAAACACAAAAAAAUUAGCCAGGCAUGGUGAUGCACGCCUGUAAUUCCAGCUACUUGGGAGGCUGAGGCAGGAGAAUCGCUGGAACCUGAAAGACAGAGAUUGCAGCGAGCCGACAUCACACCACUGCACUCCAACUGGGGCGACAGAGCGAGACUCCAUCUCAAAAAAAAAAGAAAAAAGAAUGGGACACACUACUCCUUAGGCAACAGUGUUGGGUUCAUGUUUAUAGAUGAUGGAAUGAAGCAGCGGGGGACAACUUCUGGCUGGAGUGGCUUGGAGGCUGGAGCAGCUGAGCUUUAACAAGCAUCAGAGGUCAGAAUUACUUGGCUAGAUCAAGAAGCCGCACGGCAUCAUAAUGCCGCUGGCACAUCUCCCAGAACAGGGUACCAAGACCUCUGUGAAGAUACCCAUGGUUCAAUCAUCAGGACCUGCAGAUCCUUCCAUGUUAAGGACAACACCAAUAAUACUGAGAAAGCAAACGGCAGAUUGGCAGUGUUAAAGGAUAACAACGUGCCAACAGAAUAUUAAGAAAGAAAACUUCUUUGCAAAAGUUGAUAGAGAGACUACAAAUAUCAGUCAAAUUACAAACAGACAACAGAGGACAGCAUUUGGAAACGACUUCCCGAGGCAAGCACUACUCAGUGCCCCACUUCCCUCUCCCCAUGCC
rnacentral:lncRNA from 1 species